rnacentral:rRNA from 1 species
GGGUGCUCGAGUGGCGAACGGGUGAGUAACACGUGAGUAACCUGCCCUUGACUUUGGGAUAACUUCAGGAAACUGGGGCUAAUACCGGAUAGGAGCUCCUGCUGCAUGGUGGGGGUUGGAAAGUUUCGGCGGUUGGGGAUGGACUCGCGGCUUAUCAGCUUGUUGGUGGGUAGUGGCUUACCAAGGCUUUGACGGGUAGCCGGCCUGAGAGGGUGACCGGCCACAUUGGGACUGAGAUACGGCCCAG